rnacentral:lncRNA from 1 species
AAACUGGAGAUGCCACAGCCCUCGACCUACAGCCUUCCAGACCUUCCCACCGUACGGCGGGAGAGUGGGGGUAACCUCAAGCCCACUUGAAACCAGUCAGUGCCAACUGGGCGGCCGCGCAGCCCCCUUCCGGCGCCCAGUUUGCGGUCCGACUCCGCCGCGCCUUUCCGCUGGAGCCCGGGCCUUGUGCCAGCCUGGCUGACUGUGCCACGAGUUACCUGCUUGUCUCGAGUGAAGAAUAGCGCUCCGGCAAAACCUGGAGGCAGCGCUGGAAAAAUCGCACGUGCCGAUCCCGUAAGAAAUCCAGCCGCUCUCCCUCACCGCUCCCUGCUAGCCUCUCAUCCUCAGUGGCCGCCAUGCUGCUCCGGAAGCGACGUCCGCCGCGACCCGGAAUCAGUGCCCGCGGAGAGAAAGAACCCUCCUGUGCUGAACCACAGGGUGCCGGGUGAGGGGACCUGCGCCCGCCGCAGACUAAGCCAGUAUUUGAAACCGCUAUCAUCUGGGUCCUGUGCAGCACUUCCUCUCUCCGAUAUCUCCCUAGCUAGCGCAUGACCCUACCUUUUCUACUCAAAGCCCUCGAGGCUUGUAAACACCUCGCAGGCCUUGUGAAAAUCAAGUCCACAAAUCCCUCCGUCAGAAUUUUUAUCUUGGGAAGCGCAAGGUCAAAAGCAUCAAGUACGCUUUGAGACAAUUCUGGCUCUGUAGAACCUGAGGAUGGUAUAUCUGAAAACGAGGAUGGAUCAGUAUAAACUUGCUAACAGAUUCAUUUUUGGAGGGCCAGUUUUAAGCCGAACGGUUAGGGAAACAGAAAAACAAACCAGUGGAGAUAAAUGUUUAUUGACACUACAAAAGCUCAGAGACUUUCCUAAUCUUAAUCCUUUCUGGAUACCAGGAAUCACUUAAAAAUCUGUGUAUAAUGCCCCCAAACAUAUACAACAUGCAUAUUCAUACCUAUAUAUGACUGCUUGCGUCAUUCUUUUACAAAUCUUACAGAUUUUACUUUGCUUGAGUCGACGUGUUAUCAAGAAUCAAUGGUGCAUCAAUCUGCAACAGCAAAAUAAGCUCAAUAUCUUCUCCAAUUACCUGCAUUCUAAAAAAUUUAAACAUGCUUCUAGUUCUUUUUUCCAAAAAUAGGGAUUUAAGUUGUUUAGCCGGUAUACUAUGCCCUUUAAACUUUCAUGAGGCAUUCCUGAGUAGCGGGUGGGGGGAUCCACCCAAUAAUAUAACUAAACUAGGUUCCCUGUGAUCAACUUAGCUAAUAAAAUUUUGGGUUUAAUUUUGUUAGCUUUCUUAGAAAAUGUAAUUCUUAUACUCUAUGGGCUGGGGUAAUCUUACACUUAUUCAACAAUCCAAAGUGCUCUGAAUAAUUUUUGGUACUAUUAACUACUUAUUCACAGGUAUUCCUGCAUGUCUUUACAAAAUGCCGCAUUUAACAGCCACAGACGGAUUCUAGGCUGUCCUCGGUACUUCCCUACAAAUACGGAGCUCACAGUCCUUGCCCUUCAGGUGUGCCCAGUCUGGAGUUUCCACUGUUAUUAAAAUUAAGAUCUCUCACUUAGCACACAUACCCCCAAAUGCCUGAAGAUUUUUAAAGUGGAGUCUUAUACACAUUUAACUUACUGGAAUCAGCUAUGGACACUCUAUACAUUCUCAGAAAAUUAAUUCUAAUAAACAUGGCCCUUAAGUUAGGGAAGCCAAAUGUUUCAUCUGAUUCUCAGCUCAAGGACUAGCAAUCUGAUCCAAAUCUAGAGGAAAAAUUUGCAAUGUGGGACUCAUUCAGAGAUAAUACAGAAUGCCUCCUAGGUCGGUAAAAGGCUUUCCAUGAGUGAUUUUAUCCCUACAAGAUUUUUGGCAUGUGCAUAACAGAAUGGGAAUGAUAGAACAUCUAUAUAAUUGAGUGUUAUUUAGCCAUUACAUGAUAAUGUUUGAAUUAGGUAGAAAUGUACGAAAAUGUGUAAUGCAAUUAUAGCAUAGUAAUUAAUAUGUACUGUAUGACUGUAACAAUUUAAAAAUAUGUAGGUAUGUUUUUUGAAAAAGUUACCCUGGAAUUAUGGGUACUUUAUAACAUUUCUUCUUUAGUGUUUUUUCUAUGUUUCUUAUUAAUGUAGUUUUUUUGUUUCCAGGCUUACUUCAUUUUAUUUUUCUUGUACAACCCGAUGUUGUAGCCACCGCUGGAGCCUGGGUCCUCUGCACGGAGACUCUGGUGUGGGUCUUGAGGAGGUGGUCAGUGAAUUCCUGAUAGGGAGACUUGGUGAAUACAGUCUCCUUCCAGAGGUCAGGGUUCAGCCUGCUGUAGACCUUAGAGAUGGCAUAAAAAAUGACCAUGACGAAGUUGCCCAGGAUGGCAGUGCAGCCCCUGGCUGAGGUGUAGCAGUCAUUGAUAGCUGCCAUCAGCAGCAGCUUCUUGGCCAUGGGGGCCGAGACGAUGCCAGUGCUCCUGGGCGCAGGGAUGACCCGCGCCAGCACAGAGCCGUGGCAGCCUGUCACCUUGCAAGGGAUGGUGUGGGGCUUGCCGAUCUUGUUCCCCCAGUAGCCUCUGCGCAUGGGCACAACGGAGAGCUUGGCCAGGAUGAUGGCCCCGCAGAUGGCAGUGGCCACCUCCUUGGAGCACUUAACACCCAGAUCAGUGUGGCCACUGUCCCUGAUGGCAACAAACGCCUUGAACCUGGUGUUCUGGCCGGUGCAGGUCUGCUUCUGCACUGGCACGUCUUCAAAACCUCCUUCUUGAGAGAGGCCCCAGGAAAAAGUCAAUGAUCACAGACUCCUUGAUGGGCAGAGAGAAGAGAUAGAUCUACUCCAGGGACUUAAUCUUCAUGUCCUUGACCAGGCAGCCCAGCUUGGUGACAACCAUCUACUCCUUGUCCUUGGUCUUGCCUCCACGAGCUCUGCAGCUGGCCCCGGCCCCGUCCAUGGCCGCGACACGAGUUCCCCAUCCCAGGGCCGGCUGAGACCCCAGUUCCCCAUCCCAGAGCCCCCCGGGCCUCCGGGCCUCCCAGGUCCCCCGCUGCACCGGCAUCAUCCGCGAUUUGGUGUUUUCUCAGAGAAAAAGCUAAUGUACUUUUUAAACCAGUAUAAGAAAUAUUUAUUUGACAUCUUGUUUAUGAACCUGUAACUUCUAUGAAGUCUGUAA